UACGUAGGGUGCGAGCGUUGUCCGGAAUUAUUGGGCGUAAAGGGCUCGUAGGCGGUCUGUCACGUCGGGAGUGAAAACUCAGGGCUUAACCCUGAGCCUGCUUCCGAUACGGGCAGACUAGAGGUAUGCAGGGGAGAACGGAAUUCCUGGUGUAGCGGUGAAAUGCGUAGAUAUUGGGAAGAACACCGGUGGCGAGGGCGGCCAUCUGGACCGCAACUGACGCUGAGGCGCGAAAGCGUGGGGAGCAAACAGG
rnacentral:rRNA from 1 species